AACGCGAAGAACCUUACCAGGGUUUGACAUGGAUCUGCAGAGCCGUGAAAGCGGUUGGCCUUCGAGGGUGAUCCACAGGUGCUGCAUGGCUGUCGUCAGCUCGUGUCGUGAGAUGUUGGGUUAAGUCCCGCAACGAGCGCAACCCUUGUGUCCAGUUGCGAUUUUCUGGACAGACUGCCGGGAGCAAACCGGAGGAAGGUGGGGAUGACGUCAAGUCAGCAUGGCCCUUACACCCUGGGCGAGAAGCACGCUACAAUGGCCGGGACAGAGGGUUGCCAAGCGGUAACGUGGAGCUAAUCCCCCAAACCCGGUCUCAGUUCGGAUCGAGGGCUGCAACUCGCCCUCGUGAAGCUGGAGUCGCUAGUAACCGCAGGUCAGCACUACUGCGGUGAAUAUGUUCCCGGGCCUUGUACACACCG
rnacentral:rRNA from 1 species